CAUGUUUUAUUGAGAUUAUAAUAAGUUUGGCCUGCUCGGUGCUUAGUUAACAGCCGCGGUAACUUGACUGUGCAAAGGUAGCAUAAUCAUUAGUUUUUUAAUUGGGGGCUGGAAUGAAGGGUUUGACGAAGAUUAGCUUUUUUUUUCUAUUUAGUGAAUUUUAGCUUAUAGUGAAGACGCUAUAACGUGCUUAAUUGACGAGAAGACCCCAUAAAGCUUAAUUGGGCGUUAUAUUUUUUUCUUCCAUUUUUUAUUGGGGCAAUAGGCAUGUAUUUUUUACUGGCUGUAGUGUAUGAAUAUUUUUUUAGCCUUAUUUGUGAUCCAAGUAUUUUUGAGAGUUAGAAUAAGUUACUUUGGGGAUAACAGCGUAAUUAUAUUGGAGAGUUCUUAUUGAUGGUAUAGUUUGCGACCUCGAUGUUGAAUUAAGAUACCCUUUUGUUGUAGCUGGCUUUUUGGGGGGUCUGUUCGACCCUUAAAUUCUUACAUGAUCUGAG
rnacentral:rRNA from 1 species